rnacentral:rRNA from 1 species
CUACGGGGUGCUGCAGUGAGGAAUAUUGCGCAAUGGGGGAAACCCUGACGCAGCGACGCCGCGUGGAUGAUGAAGGCCUUCGGGUCGUAAAAUCCUGUCAGAAGGAAAGAAGUGUAUGGUAGCUAAUAUCUGCCAUACUUGACGGUACCUUCAAAGGAAGCACCGGCUAACUCCGUGCCAGCGGAGCCGCGGUAAUACGGAGGGUGCAAGCGUUGUUCGGAAUUACUGGGCGUAAAGCGCGCGUUGGCGGUUUUAUAAGUCAGAUGUGAAAGUCCACGGCUCAACCAUGGAAGUGCAUUUGAAACUGUAAGACUUGAGUAUUGGAGGGGGUAGUGGAAUUCCCGGUGUAGAGGUGAAAUUCGUAGAUAUCGGGAGGAAUACCGGUGGCGAAGGCGACUAUCUGGCCAAAUACUGACGCUGAGGUGCGAAAGCGUGGGGAGCAAACAGGAUUAGAUACCCGUGUAGUC